rnacentral:rRNA from 1 species
AACGAACGCUGGCGGCAGGCUUAACACAUGCAAGUCGAACGGGCACCUUCGGGUGUCAGUGGCAGACGGGUGAGUAACGCGUGGGAACGUACCCUUCGGUUCGGAAUAACCCAGGGAAACUUGGGCUAACACCGGAUACGUCCGCAAGGAGAAAGAUUUAUCGCCGAAGGAUCGGCCCGCGUCGGAUUAGCUAGUUGGUGGGGUAAUGGCCCACCAAGGCGACGAUCCGUAGCUGGUCUGAGAGGAUGANCAGCCACACUGGGACUGAGACACGGCCCAGACUCCUACGGGGAGGCAGCAGUGGGGAAUAUUGGACAAUGGGCGAAAGCCUGAUCCAGCCAUGCCGCGUGAGUGAAGAAGGCCUUAGGGUUGUAAGGCUCUUUCAGCGGGGAAGAUAAUGACGGUACCCGCAGAAGAAGUCCCGGCUAACUUCGUGCCAGCCGCCGCA